CAACCUUGUGCCAACUCAAUAACACGAUAGACGGAACGAACUACCAUUGCAAAUGUUGCGAGGGCUAGACAAUUACAGGACAUAGUUCGAACACGAGUAUAUGGAACAUCUGGUUCCCUUCUGCCAGUGGAAGGACGAAUGGGAUGAUGGGUAUAUAACGCAAUGAAAAAAAUGGAAAACAGGAUAGAAAAAACAACAAUGGUAAAAAGUUGGAAGCAAAUACCGCCCAACAUGAUUUGAGAGCCCUGAGUUUGUAACUGAGAACCACUGUCGGCACCACCGGCAACACCACCGCCAGCAGCCUGAAGAAUAAGAGCGAUGAUAUCAAAAGUGAUAAAGAUGCCUCCAUAUAGCUUAGGAGAUAAAACGGAAAAUCGAGGUCCAUACAAAAGAACGAUGUGAUGAAACAAAACGUAAGCCUGUGCAGAAUAAAAGACUGGUGCGAUAAUUAAAGCGAUGAUUUGACCCAAGAAGGCGUUGUAGUCAUCUGGAUUGUACGAAGCGUCUAACCUACAAGCCCAUCCAGCCAAUUCACCAAUGGUACCGAUAAUAGGGACGAUAACGAGCCAUUUUCUCGUGAAAGCAAGACAAGCAACGUGAAGAAUGAAAGCGAUACUAAAGAGAAUGACAGCAAGGAUGGUGACCCAGUGGGCAGGGAUAUAGCCGAAAGCGUUAUCGUAAUACAUGGUAACUAAUAUGAGAAAAGCGAAAAAAAAAGAAGUGUAUAAGUGAAAAGAGAAGUAAGAAUUUAAAAAGAACUUCACUCAAAGAAACAAGGGAUCGAUUAAUUUGUACAACAAGUCAACUCAGUUCAACUGAAAUAAACGGAAAAACGGAAAACACGGAGAAUG